UACCUGUCGUACGUGAUGUAUGUUAAGCCGUAAUGUACGUUAACCUUCCUCUAUAUUUUGAAUAUAAAAGAUAUAUUGUAAUUCUUUCUUGAGUAACUGUGGAUUCCGUCGAUCAUUUGGUACGCUGUUAUUUUUGUUGAUAAUAUUAUUGACUUCACAUAAGCUUAGUCAAAAUUACGUAAUUUAUGAGUAAGAUAUCAAUUUUGUUUUUGAGUCUUUCGAAUUCACUAGACGAAAAGUACAAAAUUGUAGUGAAUUGGUGAUCAACCCCACCAUGAUCAGUGGCGAAGCUUGAGAUUUCUAAACGGAGGGGCGGAAGUCACCGGACCUAAAAAUUUCCAUAAAAUUGGGGGUCGAAAACGUAUAUACCCAAAAGUUUCUAUACGAAAACUACAUACUCUCCACUACUGAGCGAAAAGUUCAGGGGUUGGCCGCCCCCUCCCGCCCCUUAAAAGCUUCGCCCAUGACCAUGAUUGAAUGCAAUUUUAAGAUUCUUCGGAUAAGCUAAUAUCAUGUCAUGUGUGCCUUGGUACAUCGGAGGUAAUAGAAACCAUCGUCAAACAUUACUCUGUAACGAUGAUUAAUAACUUGUGUACCGAAUAUUGCACUAUUUAUUCGUUUUGAUGAUUAGUGGUUGCUAUAUCAAAUCUAUUUUACAUGCGUACCAAAUAUUGCGCUAUUUAUUCGCUUUGAUGUUUAGUGAUUGCUGUAUCAAAUACUAUUUUACCUGUACACAACCGAUAAAUUGGUUAGUCACUGGUUGGGAUAAUUUAAGGUUUUGAAUUAAAUUAUCCUUAAAUGCAUUGAUGAUUUUUUCAUACAUUUGUGUACACUCAAAAGAAGAAUGCAGGUUCAAAAUAACUAAUAUUUUGGAUGAUGAAUUGUGAAGGGAAGAACCAUAGUGUCUCGCAUGACGAAGAUUGAAGAUAGCCUUCGUCGAAAUAGGUGUGUACAUGAUCAUACAUCGACUGUCUUUACUGAUCAUUGAUAUCUCAAUUUAACAAAUUAAACCCGUAAAAAAACAGGAACAAUUCAUUUGAGUUAAAAGGUCAAAGACACAGAGGGAUUCUCCGAUCAUGCGGUGACGUGGCACAGCGUACUACACUGAGGAACGUAUCCUCGUCACAAGGAAUACUGAGUCUAGAAUCAGUACUGAAGUCAUACUCUUCUCGAGCUUGAUCUAAUAACGCACUGAACAAAGGGUGUUUUAGUAGUUUCACACUGAUCACAAACCUCCGCUGGUUUUUGCCUACGUAAACCACCAUAUGACCCUUCGGAACAUCUCGUGGAAUCGAAGUUUCGUCUUCUUCAUUCAUCGAUAACGGCCAUCUGAACACCCAUUGGCAGCACUUGUCACAGCUUUCGGAUGACGGUAUGAUUCCGCCAUUGUUCAUCUUUUUCCACUUUUUAAUCCAUGAUUUUAGAACCUUAUCGCUCUGCAUCGUUAAACGUAUAUGCGCCUGCGUAUAUAUCGGUGUAUAUAUUUUUGUGUGUGUAAUAAAGAGAGAUAUUGUGUUGUU